UCUGGUUGUCAUAUUGACCAUGGGAGCCU
rnacentral:sRNA from 1 species